GGGCAGCGACGACAUCUCCUCCACGUCUCUUCAGUUUUUGGCGCGAGCGUUUGCUCGGCCGACGUCGGUUUCCUGUGCUGAAUACCUAUUUGCGAUGGCAUUAUGUCGGCUAUGUUUGUUCCNUUCCCACCUUGUUCCGCUGCUCCACGUGGGCGUGCGGUGCGGGGCGGGCCAAAUCGCGCGCGUCGUGUGUCGCACCGCGUUCGCCCCUUGGGGCGUUCGGGUUGUCGACCCACGACGUGUUGCUCGGUCUCUCGGGUACGGUGCAUCAUGUGGGUACGAGGCCAUCGGCCUCCGAGCACCACAAUCAAGCGUUCUACGCUUCGUGCGAACGACCGUCGGUUCGGUCUUUGGC
rnacentral:misc_RNA from 1 species